rnacentral:rRNA from 1 species
UACGUAGGGUGCGAGCGUUGUCCGGAAUUACUGGGCGUAAAGAGCUCGUAGGUGGUUUGUCACGUCGUCUGUGAAAUUCCGGGGCUUAACCUCGGGCGUGCAGGCGAUACGGGCAAUACUUGAGUGCUGUAGGGGAGGACUGGAAUUCCUGGUGUAGCGGUGAAAUGCGCAGAUAUCAGGAGGAACACCAAUGGCGAAGGCAGGUCUCUGGGCGAGUAACUGACGCUGAGGAGCGAAAGCAUGGGUAGCGAACAGGAUUAGA